GGGUGCAUAGCUCAGUGGUUAGAGCACGCGCCUUAUAAGCGCGUGGCCGAUGGUUCGAAUCCAUCUGCACCCA
rnacentral:tRNA from 1 species